AGAGUUUGAUCAUGGCUCAGGAUGAACGCUAGCGGCAGGCUCAACACAUGCAAGUCGAGGGGCAGCGGGGUGUAGCAAUACACUGCCGGCGACCGGCGCACGGGUGCGUAACGCGUAUGCAACCUACCCAUAACAGGGGCAUAACACUGAGAAAUUGGUACUAAUUCCCCAUAACAUUCGAAGAGGCAUCUCUUUGGGUUGAAAACUCCGGUGGUUAUGGAUGGGCAUGCGGUUGUAUUAGC
rnacentral:rRNA from 1 species